rnacentral:rRNA from 1 species
CCUACGGGUGGCAGCAGUGAGGAAUAUUGGUCAAUGGGCGCGAGCCUGAACCAGCCAAGUAGCGUGAAGGAUGACUGCCCUACGGGUUGUAAACUUCUUUUAUACAGGAAUAAAGUGAGGCACGUGUGCCUUUUUGUAUGUACUUUAUGAAUAAGGGUCGGCUAACUCCGUGCCAGCAGCCGCGGUAAUACGGAGGAUCCGAGCGUUAUCCGGAUUUAUUUGGUUUAAAGGGAGCGUAGAUGGGUUGUUAAGUCAGUUGUGAAAGUUUGAGGCUCAACCUGAAAAUUGCAAUUGAUACUGGCAGCCUUGAGUACAGUUGAGGUAGGCGGAAUUCGUGGUGUAGCGGUGAAAUGCUUAGAGAUCACGAAGAACUCCGAUUGCGAAGGCAGCUUACUAAACGGCCACUGACAUUGAGGCUCGAAAGUGUGGGUAUCAAACAGGAUUAGAUACCCGUGUAGUC